AUUGCAUUAUAUUUAGCUUAAAAUUUAAUGAACUAAAAUUCUUUAAGAUCAAGAUUCUUUGUUUUUAAAAUCCCACACACUCUUCUCCAUAUGCUUGCAAAUUAGUAAGUCAACAACAGGAUUUCUGGUUAAAAACCCUUGAAUGUGGGAAAUUGCUCGGAUUGUGCACACAAGCUGAAGGAAGACAAUGCAUGAGCUGCGUUUAUGGUGGAAAGUAAGUUUGUUUAUUUUGCAUUCAGUAAUCUAAAGCAUUACUUUCUUACCUAAAAUAAUGUCAGUUUGGUAGCUGUGUGUUUAAAAGAGAGCUGUUUUUAACUGCAGCAUUAUUUUUCCAUUUCUAAAUGCAUGCAGGUAUUGUGGAAUAUUCAUUUGUUACGACGUUACUAAAGCCCAUUUUACCAAAUCAAAGAUGAAAACAGAUUGAAAGUACCCAGAAACCUGAUCUGCAAGAGUGAGACCAACAGUUUCUGCAGUGAUCAGCAGUGCUGGCCAGGCAGCUGUGGAGUCUGCCUGCAACAAGCAGCAACAGCGAAGGAAUGCUUCUCUCCAUUGCCUUCUAUCAGGGUGCCUUUGCAUGACUCGUCAAGCAGAGGAGGAGAUCAGGCUUGGCCUGCCAACGCUGGCUGCUGUGGACACUGUUGGUCUUGUGCCUGCUCCUCUCCUUGGACCUGCUGUGUCGGAGCAACUGACCUGCCCAUGCAUGGCCACUCUUGGCACUGCGUUCUCUGCACGGAUGCAGACCGGUCCUAUGUGCCCAGGGUUGCCGUAUGGCCAGCAGUUUGCUGUUUGACAUCCAGAAAUAGGUAGAUUACCCUUUGAAAAAGGUAAGAAAUAGAGAACCACAGAAAAAGGUAAUUUACUUUUCAUAGAGGUAGUGUUUUCCUGUCCAGCUUAGUUACCUGGCUACGCUCUUCUGACAAGCAGGCCUGGAGAGAGGUCCCAUUGGGGAAAGGCAGAGCAAGGCCUCCUUUCCAUCUUGAUAGUUGGUCUAUCAGUCUCUAUUCACCUCCACCACUGUCCUUUUUCCUCAGACAGUGCCAGCUUUCAGCCGCUCUCCUUGCAGCGUGAAUGGCCAGACAUCUCUAGCAGCUUUGGGUCUCUCUGGGCUCUCGUUCUGGUCUCAAGCAGCAAAUGAGGGUUCAGGCUCAUCUCUGAGGGUUCAGAUGUAUUUGGUUACUCUGUAGACCUUUCUCCAGUCUUCACGUCAGGCUAUCCAUCUUUAUAUCAGUCUUUCCCAGUCCCACUGACAGAAUUGUCCACCUUUGCUUCUCUGCUUUUAAAGCUGGCUCUAGCUCAUGCCCAUCACAAACCUUGGUAGGUCAUUCUGGAGUUAUCACCAACAGAGAAAUUUCAUCCUUUGCUUUGUUAGCCGGUUUCUGAAUGAUAUUAUCUAACCUUCUAUGCUGUUCCUGUCAGUUAAGUGGUUCCCUUCGGGGAAACGUUGCAUGUUUCCUUUUUAGUUUGGUCAGAACAGUUACCUGGAGACAUUGAAGGCAGCAUUUCAAACCACAUUUCAAAAUUCAAAAUCAAAUUUCAGAAAAUAAGGAUUCUUUUUAAUUCUGCAAAACUUUCAAAUACUUCUUUUCAAAGUGAAAGAUAGAGGCUCUGCUAGUAAAAGAGCUGAAAAGGGCAGUCACUUAGUACGUUUGUUACAACUGUCAUUCGUGCAGGCCCAGUCUCAUUCCAGGGUGGAGAGAUGGUAAAUAAGCCUCAAAAGAGGAUAUGGGUGAUUGUACUGAGUCAUCAGAGACCAGGAGGUUGCAGCAGUGCUCUGUAUGGAUGUCACAGUAAGUUGCGAUUGCUGGUAGAGAACAUUUGCUCUUCCCAAAAGAGAAGAGUAGUCCAGUCCUGAAGAAAAUUAGAGAAGUCUAAGUCUAGAUGUUCAAGAAGCGAAGCACGUAAUGAUUUUUCAAAGAUUUUAAAUUUUAUUAAUGUAUUAUGGAGCUAGGUUUUAUUGUUUAUGAGGACCUGAAUGACUGUCUUAUUUCAGACUCUGAAGAUGAAGAAGCUCUUGGACCCAGGCUCAUCCUGCCUAACUUCAGACCUCUUAGUGAAAGGCCUAAAUUAGAUUUUUGGUCUUGCUGAACUCCUAAAUUCAGUAAUUCAUUUAAAUUCCUGAAGUUAGGGGAGAUGAAUCUGUAACUGAACAUCUUUGGAAUGCGAUCAUAAAUAAACAUCACUCUCCGGUUUUGAGCCCA
rnacentral:lncRNA from 1 species